GUUCAUUGAAAAUCACCCCCAGCUUCAGCCAUGGAGAUUCGGUCUAGGGCCUUAUACUCACUGCCCACUGCUGGUGUUGAACCAUGAAACCCAGGCCCCAACAGGC